UACGUAGGGUGCAAGCGUUAAUCGGAAUUACUGGGCGUAAAGCGCACGUAGGCGGCUUGUUAAGUCGGAUGUGAAAGCCCCGGGCUCAACCUGGGAAUGGCAUCCGAUACUGGCAAGCUAGAGUACAAGAGAGGGUGGUAGAAUUUCUAGUGUAGCGGUGAAAUGCGUAGAUAUUAGAAGGAAUACCGGUGGCGAAGGCGGCCACCUGGCUUGAUACUGACGCUGAGGUGCGAAAGCGUGGGGAGCAAACAGG
rnacentral:rRNA from 1 species